rnacentral:rRNA from 1 species
UACGUAGGGUGCAGGCGUUAAUCGGAAUUACUGGGCGUAAAGCGUGCGCAGGCGGCUCCUUAAGUCAGAUGUGAAAUCCCCGGGCUUAACCUGGGAACUGCGUUUGAAACUGAGGGGCUAGAGUGUGGAAGAGGGGGGUGGAAUUCCAGGUGUAGCAGUGAAAUGCGUAGAGAUCUGGAGGAACACCGAUGGCGAAGGCAGCCCCCUGGGCCAACACUGACGCUCAUGCACGAAAGCGUGGGGAGCAAACAGG